CGGCUUCUCCCUCACCCCUCUCU
rnacentral:miRNA from 1 species